rnacentral:rRNA from 1 species
AGCUUAUGUAAAGUCUGUCAGGCCAAAGAGGAAGAUCUGGAGCAUGCAUUGCUACACUGCUCACAUGCCCGACGAUUCUGGGAAGAAGCUAGGUUGGUGCUGGAUAUCAAACUGCCAAGGCUUCAUCCCUCCUCUUGGGCGAGCGAUAUUUUAUGCGGCUCUAUGUUCAGUGAAAAGGAGCGCGCAACAAUAAUCACCAUUAUGUGGUCGAUUUGGAGUUCUCGCAACAGGUACACACAUGAUGGAGAGAAGUAUGAUCCGGUGACUUCUAUUAGACUCACCAGAGAAGCUCUGGCCUUGCUUGAUGUUCCUCAACAGCAGGCAGCUCUCUUGCCAGGUCAUGGCUGGAGGCCACCAGAAUCGGGCCAGGUAAAAAUCAACACCGAUGCCGCCGUUCGUCAUUUGGCUGGAAUGAGCGGAGCGGGAGGAGUUGCUCGUUCUAAGGAUGCGCUUCUAGGCGUAUGGUGCAAACCUUUGCAGGGGGUCACCGAUCCGAUGAUUGCUGAGGCAUUAGCUUUGCGGGAUGGAGUUAUCUCUGCAAAUCUACGAGGCUAUGCACAAGUAAUGAUGGAAACCGACUGUCUAGAGAUCGUUAAUCUCUGGAACACUCGCCUCAACAGUCGCUCUGUUGUGGCACCAGUAUUUUACGAAAUUGAGGAGCUUGCUGCUAGUUUUGAUUCUUUUGUUAUAAACCAUGUAAGCAGAUCCGCUAACGGUCCAGCGCACUUGUGUGCGCAACGGGCAUGUAGCGUGUCUGUAACCGAGAGCUGGAUCUCUGAAAUUCCAAGUUUUCUGGUCAGUAGCCUCAUGGCUGACUGCCCAGCAAACACUUUUGUUUGA